AGUGAACGCUGGCGGCGUGCCUAAUACAUGCAAGUCGACCGGAGUGGCGCGCGGGCGAGUAAUGUAUAGCUAAGCUGCCCUACACUAGAGGACAACAGUUGGUAACGGCUGCUAAUACUCUAUAGUGUAGGAUGAGGCUAUACUGGAUCAGCUAGUUGGUGAGGUAAUGGCUCACCCAGGCUAUGACGCAUAACUGGUCUGAGAGGAUGAUCAGUAGAACUGGAACUGAGACACGGUCCAGACUCCUACGAGAGGCAGCAGUAGGGAAUAUUGCUCAAUGGGGGAAACCCUGAAGCAGCAACGCCGCGUGGAGUAUGACACUUUUCGGAGCGUGAACUCCUUUUGUUAGGGAAGCGUUACCUAACGAAUAAGCACCGGCUAACUCCGUGCCAGCAGCCGCGGUAAUUC
rnacentral:rRNA from 1 species